ensembl:lncRNA
CGCUGUGGAGGAAAGACACUCUACCGCCUCAUUCACAGGAUGAAGACUCUGAGCUUUUUGUGCAUUCUUCUAUUUUUAUGUAGCGAGGUUUUCGGAAAGUUGAUUCAAGCUCCUUUAGGAGAUGGAGUUGAGUUUCUGCUGUCAGAGGAGUGCCUGAAGGGACGCGGGAGACUAAAUCUGCGAAGGAAUGAUGCCAGCACGCAGCUGAUCGCCUCCCUGGAAAACGUCUGGAAACCCGGACCACAACAUCCAGACCGCGUGAAUCAAAGAGGGCUCUCUCUCAUCCUGGAAAACGCAGAUCUGAACGACGAAGGGCUGUACGAGUUUACAUGCAACGGCAAAGACUUGGAAGCGAUCAAGCUGGAAGUAUUUGCCCCCUCUGAAGUUGCUGUAUCCGAGGGCGAGGAUGCCACACUCCCGUGCCGCUCCGUCACCGCGGGCCAGUCGGUGAAAUCUGCGCGCUGGAGGAGAAAUGGAAAGGUGGUGCUUCAGCUGGAUGCUAAAACAGGAGGAAUCACAUACGGGGAAGACGUUGACAGAAGCCGGGUGUCGAUACCAUCAGAGUGGGACCGACAAGCAGACCUGUCCCUCACCAUAAAGAGAGUCCAGCAACAAGAUGAAGGAGUUUAUUACUGUGACAUAGACAAGUGGGAGAGACACCGCUCUGCUGUCCGCCUGCGAGUCCACCCUCAAGUCCCCACAGCACCCGGUAGCACACCUCUGCCUACAACCACACCGACGCCAUCAGAGUCCUCUGAUAGGACAUGGAUCACAGUCCUUGUAACAGCAGCUGUAACAUCUGGGAUCGUUGGUCCUCUGACUUUCCUUUUGGGCCGGAAACGGAGGAGAGAAACAUGAGAUGAGGAGACCGGAGCCCAACUAAACGGGUGCCACACCACCAAUAAUGAUCAGUCAUCAGGAGAUCAGCACGUCUCUACAAAUGGCUUUAAAAGGCCACCUGGUGCUCCAGAGGAAAUUACCCUACUGCCUAUUAAUAAUAAUAAUAAUGAUAAUAAUAAUAAUAAUAAUAAUAAUAAUAAUAACAAAUGAAAUAAACGUAAUUUUUUAAGAAACUGGUUGUUUUACUUGGAGACGCUCAUCAGUGUCUCCAUGUCUUCCUAUUGUGUCUAACUUCACCAUCUGUGUUUACAUGUACAAAGUUACACAGUAUCUGCACACCAGUAACUUGGACCGUAAAGAAAAACAAAAC